CGGGGUGUAGCUCAGCCUGGUAGAGCACUGCGUUCGGGACGCAGUGGCCGGAGGUUCGAAUCCUCUCACCCCGACCA
rnacentral:tRNA from 1 species